GAGCAUUUAGUCUAAUUAAGAUAAUUGAUUUCGACUCAAUUAAUUCUAGUUAAAUCUAGAAAUACUCU
rnacentral:tRNA from 1 species